rnacentral:rRNA from 1 species
AUGCAGUCGACGCGAAGUCACUUCGGUGGCGAGUAGAGUGGCGGACGGGUGAGUAACGCGUGGGAAUCUACCUUGUAGUGGGGGACAACCCGAGGAAACUCGGGCUAAUACCGCAUACGUCCUACGGGAGAAAGGGGGCCUCUGAUUCAAGCUCCCGCUACAAGACGAGCCCGCGUCGGAUUAGCUAGUUGGUAGGGUAAAAGCCUACCAAGGCAACGAUCCGUAGCUGGUCUGAGAGGAUGAUCAGCCACACUGGGACUGAGACACGGCCCAGACUCCUACGGGAGGCAGCAGUGGGGAAUAUUGCACAAUGGGCGCAAGCCUGAUGCAGCAAUGCCGCGUGUGUGAAGAAGGCCUGCGGGUUGUAAAGCACUUUCAGUAGGGAAGAAAAGCCUGUGGCUAAUACCCACGGGAUUUGACGUUACCUACAGAAGAAGCACCGGCUAACUCCGUGCCAGCAGCCGCGGUAAUACG